CCAGACUCCUACGGGAGGCAGCAGUGGGGGAUAUUGCACAAUGGGGGGAACCCUGAUGCAGCGACGCCGCGUGGGUGAAGGAGUGCUUCGGCAUGUAAAGCCCUAUCGGCAGGGAAGAAGCAAGACGGUACCUGACUAAGAAGCCCCGGCUAACUACGUGCCAGCAGCCGCGGUAAAACGUAGGGUGCAAGCGUUGUCCGGAAUUACUGGGUGUAAAGGGAGCGUAGACGGCAAUACAAGUCGGAAGUGAAAUACCCGGGCUCAACCUGGGAACUGCUUUGGAAACUGUAUGGCUAGAGUGCUGGAGAGGUAAGCGGAAUUCCUAGUGUAGCGGUGAAAUGCGUAGAUAUUAGGAGGAACACCAGUGGCGAAGGCGGCUUACUGGACAGUAACUGACGUUGAGGCUCGAAAGCGUGGGGAGCAAACAGGAUUAGAUACCCGAGUAAC
rnacentral:rRNA from 1 species